rnacentral:rRNA from 1 species
AUUGAACGCUGGCGGCAGGCCUAACACAUGCAAGUCGAGCGGAUGAAGGGAGCUUGCUCCUGGAUUCAGCGGCGGACGGGUGAGUAAUGCCUAGGAAUCUGCCUGGUAGUGGGGGAUAACGUCCGGAAACGGGCGCUAAUACCGCAUACGUCCUGAGGGAGAAAGUGGGGGAUCUUCGGACCUCACGCUAUCAGAUGAGCCUAGGUCGGAUUAGCUAGUUGGUGGGGUAAAGGCCUACCAAGGCGACGAUCCGUAACUGGUCUGAGAGGAUGAUCAGUCACACUGGAACUGAGACACGGUCCAGACUCCUACGGGAGGCAGCAGUGGGGAAUAUUGGACAAUGGGCGAAAGCCUGAUCCAGCCAUGCCGCGUGUGUGAAGAAGGUCUUCGGAUUGUAAAGGACUUUAAGUUGGGAGGAAGGGCAGUAAGUUAAUACCUUGCUGUUUUGACGUUACCAACAGAAUAAGCACCGGCUAACUUCGUG